UUUUUUUCUUUUUUUUUUUUUAAAGGAAAGUUGGUAUUUCGCUUUCACAGGGCUAAUAAAUUAGUUACAAGAGAAAAGUUUCAGACCAUGAACCAUUAAAGAGGUCCCUUUACAAACCUAACAAUCAACUUAAUCAUAUAAGCCCGAGAACCCAAACAAGAAACCCUAAAUUAUAUUGGGUAUCAAUCCAAUCCAAAGAGCUAAAACUUCAACGGGAGCCGUCUUACACCUCCUAUACCUAGUAGAGAUAGCAACUCGACUUCAAGCAUGUAGGCAGAAAAAGCCCAUCCUCAACCAUAACUAAAAAACUUUUGAAAUGCAGUCAAGCAAAGGACCCAAUAACAAAUAAUAUAACUGUCAUGAAAAUGAACCUUGAAAGGCCAAUCCAAGCCAAAAGAGGAAUGGGGAUGGUAGAGCUCCACAACUUCUCAAUUUCGUAUAGCUGAUAGAUUCAACGUCAGAAUCUAAGUCAAAAUCUAAGCUUCUCAAUUUCGUAUAAUUUCGUAUAGCUGAUAGAUCUAGCGUCAGAAUCUAAGCCGAUACAAAAAUUCAGAGAUGCCACGCCGAUGUCAAGGGAACCUUCUCGCUAAGCCACGAAAAGAAGCUCAAAAAUAAAACUUCCAUAACCAACCCAUUUCACAGAUCUCCAUGUACCUCUUUCUCGCUUUUUGAUCAAAAGGUAUUAAAGUUUGUAGCAUGGUGCAAAUAUUGACAACAAGGCCAUGUGAUGUGCUUGCAAAUGGCAAUAAUUUUGUGGCCAAUGCUGAGGGAGGAAUAUCAAAACUAAGACUUCAUUAACCUCAUACAAAAAAAGUUAUAAAUUCUGCAUCAAUCUUCAUUCAUCAUCAAAAUCAAACCAGAUCUCUGCAAACUCCCAGUUUGACAUUGAUUAUAGUAACCAGAAAAGAGAGAGAGAAAGAGAAUAGCUUCUUUAUUUGAUAGAACUAACAUCUCGUUGCAAAGCUCACAGAUUUCAGAUCUCUACAGAAAAACAAACUACUGAAACUAAUACCCAGUAAUUAACCAUCAAGUUUAAAUCAAAGAGAACUAUGAAGAAAAAAAAGAACGUACACUGAAAAGAACUUCUCUAAUUAAUCUAGCCUCAAAUUGCAAAGCAAGAGAUCCAAUAACCUCGACCAAAAGUGCCUUGCACGUGGAUAAACUCUAUUAGUAUAUUCUCUAGACUCCCUGUACAGAUCUUCCAUGGUCUCCACAAAAUGAUUCAAGCUCCUAACUGGUGGUAUAUAAAGAGUCAAAGGCACUGCAGAGAAAGCCACUGUAAAGAACAGCUGCAACAUAAUUUAACCAAAACCCAGAAACGAAAAAACCAAAGAACAGAUUUUUGUGGGUUUUUUGCCCCUGAUCUGAGAUAUUACAGGCAGAGAAUGAGAGGGGGAAGGUGAGAUAUAAAGGGUUUAUGUGGGUUGGUGAUGAAAUCUUCGAAAAGUAAAAGGGAAGAUUUGGGAAUACAAAGGGUAAGCAUAAAUGAGAAAAGAAGAAGAAAAUGGAAGAUAAAGAGAGAGAAGAAUUCUAGAAAUUGAAGGAAGUUCAAGGCAAAAAUGUAGAUUUAUGCUAAUGUAUACAGAGAUAAUGGUAAGAUGUAGACAGAAAUAUUUAUAAGAAAGAACAGAAACAUGUGUUUGUACGGGACUAGUAGUUGGUGAGGAUCG
rnacentral:misc_RNA from 1 species